rnacentral:rRNA from 1 species
GAUGAACGCUAGCUACAGGCUUAACACAUGCAAGUCGAGGGGCAGCAUGAACAAAGCUUGCUUUGUUUGAUGGCGACCGGCGCACAGGUGAGUAACACGUAUCCAACCUGCCCAUAACUCAGGGAUGGCCUUUCGAAAGAAAGAUUAAUAAUUGAUAAUAUAUUUUAGCCGCAUGGUUUUAAUAUUAAAGAUUUAUUGGUUAUGGAUGGGGAUGCGUUCCAUUAGGUAGUGGGUGAGGUAACGGCUCACCUAGCCAUCGAUGGAUAGGGGUUCUGAGAGGAAGGUCCCCCACAUUGGAACUGAGACACGGUCCAAACUCCUACGGGAGGCAGCAGUGAGGAAUAUUGGUCAAUGGCCGGAAGGCUGAACCAGCCAAGUAGCGUGAAGGAUGACUGCCCUAUGGGUUGUAAACUUCUUUUAUAUGGGAAUAAAAGACAUUACGUGUAGUGUUUUGUAUGUACCUUAUGAAUAAGCAUCGGCUAAUUCCGUGCCAGCAGCCGCCGUAAAAC